UGUGUGUGUGUGUGUGUGUUCGGUGUGUGUAACAUCCCUGCAGAGAGAGGAGGGGUCCACCAGGAGGGGACUAAGGUUACCCCCUGAUAGAGGCAGCGCGGGGUCAUCUCGCAGCGGGACACUUCUCAGGGGCGACCCCGCCGCCCCUUGUGGCCCCCCGAGCAGCCGGGACUUCUGAGGGGAGAAGAGGAAGGACCAGAGGAGAGACCCCCAGAGAACAGGACCCCCGGUCUGCCCCAGACCUCAGCACCCCGGCCUCAACAGAGCCCGACCCAGGUCCAAUGUGUUCCCAAUCAGGAGAAACACAAACAAGACUUUUAUUAAAGAGAGCGGGCCGCAGAGGAAAGCCGCACACACACAUACACAUACACUCACACACACACACGUAUAAAUACACACACUCAACACACACAUACACAUUUUCUCCAAACAGAAACAGGAGCAGAAUUAACUUGAAUUAACACUCAGAUUAAGAAACUGUAAAUCAGCACAAACAAAGAACUGUCAAAUCACGAUUAUCACCAUCACCCAUGACCCCGACUCCUGCCUCCCUUUCCUCCUCUCGCCUCCAUUCUUCUGCGUCUCUAUCCGGGAAAACAAACGGAGGGAUUAGGGAUUUGUGGAGGGGUAAUGGGAGCCAGGUGGAGGAGUGUGACUGCGGGGGUCUCCUGCCAGAUUAGGGGGAGCGGCAAGCCCCAAUCCCUCACACUCCUUCCUAAAGGCGGCUAAUGUUUCUUUUGAAGAAAUGAUCCUGUUUGGCCAUCUAAUAGCACUUGGCAAUUAUGAGCCUUUGCAGGGCAUGUUUGGUAUUACAGAGGCUGGCUACCUGCGGAGACUCAGAGGAGGGGAGAGAGUUUAUCAAGUGAUAACAUACAGAUCUAAGAUGAUGGAGACUUUAAACAGUAAAUACACAAGAAGUGCAUGCAGAAUCCAAAAGUUCUUCUUUGUGGACUUUGUCAAAUAUGUAUUAACUGUGUUUUUAUUUUUGCUUUUUUCUGUCUUACCAGCAUCACUUUGGGAGACACAACUCAUAAAGCUCCACGGACUCUAGAUGGGUGAGCAUGAGCCCUGAAGAGGAUCUGACAGUCUGUGAGUUGGCACAAAGCAAACCUGAUCUCAUCCCAGGGAAGAUUCUCUGGACCGCUCUGUCGAUCCAUGUCUGGAGGGACGGGAAGACCCUGUGGUCGAGGACUUCACACCAUAAAUUCUUCUGAGUGCAUACUUAAAGUAGUUCAGACCUAAC
rnacentral:lncRNA from 1 species